UACGGAGGGUGCGAGCGUUGUCCGGAAUCACUGGGCGUAAAGGGCGCGUAGGCGGCUUCUCAAGCGUGUGGUGAAAGUCCGGGGCUCAACCCCUGAUCGGCCGUGCGAACUGGGGGGCUGGAGCACUGUAGAGGCAGGCGGAAUUCCGGGUGUAGCGGUGGAAUGCGUAGAGAUCCGGAAGAACACCGGUGGCGAAGGCGGCCUGCUGGGCAGUGGCUGACGCUGAGGCGCGACAGCGUGGGGAGCAAACAGG
rnacentral:rRNA from 1 species